AUACAUUAGUGAAGUUUAAGAGACAGGUAUGUGGAGGAAUUUUAGCUGGGGGGUUAUAUGGGAGGCAGGGUUUGAUGGUUGGCACAACAUUGUGGGCCAAAGGACCUGUAACGUGUUGUACUUUUGAUGCACCAUCAAUAACUCACACUGAGACGUAAGGCGAGAUAUCGGCUUUUAUUGACUGGAAGAAGGAACCAGGAGUGAGUGUCCAUCAUACUAUGUCCUGGAGACUGAGGCCGAGCGUCAGGCCUCAGAUCGCCUUUAUACAGGGGCCUGUGGGAGGAGCCACAGGAGCAGUCAGCAGGGGGCGUGUCCAGACAGGCACAACUAUUCUAAAAAAAAUCUACUUUGCAGAAGUAAUAGUAGAGGUGUUUUGUUAAUGCUGAUAUGAGAAUUUAGGUGAGUAAAUAUGGGGAAUGCCUUUAAUUUGACAUGACACUAUAGGAUUUUCUGAAGACAUAAAUCACGGUGAUCUUAUAUCAAAGAUUUUGGAAUAUCAAUGUCCGAAAUAUUAUUCAAACUGCUUGGGUGAAAUUACACUGAAAUCCAGCGGACAUAACUUCAAGAUUAUGGUAGGCAAGCGAUGAGAUCUUGCGCCCAUGGAUAGUCACUGAUUAUGUAGAAUAAUGCUGAGAGAGAUUGACAAGGUAGAUAGUGAAAGUUUUGACUUCCACUGCCUCUUUUCUAAGUUUGAAAUCCAGACUUGAGAAACGGUCGUUACUAAGAUUUGUAAACAUGAGAACGUGGGACAGAAAAUGUGGCUCCCGGUUCCGCUCCUCCUGGCGACACGAUCAAGACUAACCUGACUCUAGUCUUACGUCCAUGCUCCGAUACGCACAGCAUUCAGCAUUAAUUCCAAGAAGUCUAAACUCUCCAGACUUGGAUGAAAAUACUGAAUAUCAGCCCGUAGACGCCCCCCCCCCCCCAUGCCAACUUGCACAACAUUCAGGAUCUUAUAUGAAACUAAUUAAUCCUAAGCAACGGCAAUUGAGUAGCAGAUUUCACGACACAUGCCUGGUGAUAAUAGACCUCAUUCUGAUUCUGAGAUGGGAAGGUGCUCAAACACUAGAGGCGCAGAUAGCAGGGUAGAACGACUUGGAAGCAGACUCGGGUAAAAGCUCCACCAGGAAAACCAGGAUCUUACAUGACUGCAGUGCGCGUGUGUGUCUGUAUCUGCGCAAGCAAAUUUGUUCGCUGGAAAUUUGGUCCAAUGAUCUCUGCCGCUUCUGAUGACGAGAUCAAACAAAUGCGCCCAGAGAGCCGGAAGUGCGUUUCUCGCAGGAGUUUUUCUCUCGGUAUGGGACUGCUGCCGUUCCCAGCGCUCGUUCUUUGUUUCUUCAUAACUGUUGGUGAGGGUCUCUCGGACGGUGAGUCUCUGGAUUUUACCAUCAUGGUGAAGCACAGUCAAAUAAAUGAAACCGUCGGGGGAAAUGCGUUGUUUUCAGUGCAGCCGUCGGACGAGAUCUCCAGUGGAAGCUGGAGUUUUAACAAAAAAACGGUCUGACAGUGGAUUGGUCAAGUCGUGUCUAUUGACAAUUCGUAUAAAUCGCGAGCUAAGCUAUUCACCUCUAGCGGGUCACUACUGUUGAAGUCGGUGAACAAGUUAGACAGUGGGUAAUACCUUGUGAACAUGGUGCCAACCAGCGGCUCACAAGCCUCAGCGACCGUCACUCUCCAAGUCACUGAAAACCACACUGGAGGCAAAAAUCCAGAGGGUUGACAAUAUACAUUGGAAACUGCAGCACCUUCUUCUGACUCUUCAAACAGUCUGGCAGGUGGAUCGAUAGCCGGAAGUGUGAUUGCGGUCACCGCUGGAAUGGUGCUGACGUGUGCAUUAAUUUUCUGAUGCAUCGGGGAAAGGCAAACAGAUAGCCACGAAACAAAAAAUUCUAUUUAAAGUCAUUCAAAAAGAAACAUCAGUCUCCCCUCCCUCCAGAAAAAUAGAAGGGCAACCUGAUCAUCAACCUCCGAAGCUCACCACUGCCCAAACAAAAUGGGUCAAGAAUAUCAAACCCACUCACCCAAAUAAAGUUUGCUUGGCACAAAUGCAGAGGAGCUAGCGUCACCAGUACAGAGGAGCACCCCAAAAGAGUUGCCUGAUCUGCAAGGACUUUUUGGACAACGGGGAGGAUUCGGCUAUUGGGCCCUUUCACUGUGAGACCACUGAACUCAACAACUACAUCCAAACCACUCUGGGUGAACUUUAAUGACCAAUAAAUUGGAUUACGCUCUACAAUCAGGUGUCUAAAUGAUUCACUGACUUUAAAGGGAAGGGGCAUCUAGUUUACCAGGAAACAAAGACUACAGGGACUACAGUCUUUCUGUUGACUAAUAUGUCUCUCCACUCACGGUGAAAUGGGGGCAAAACUUUUUUCCCUUAUUAAGGAAAGUGAGAACCUGUGGUGUGUAGAAUUGUCGGGUGAACGAGCAGCUUUUGGGGUACUGCCAGUAUGUGUCUUUAUUGACUCUUUGCUGCACGCUACGUAGAGGAUGCUGAUGCACUUUUUGCUGGUCACUGGUUUUGCUGGUGUGUCACUGCUUUGCUGUUGCUUGUGCGUCGGGGGGGUAUCUGGGGGGAUUUGCUGUUCUAACAUUUUAGCUGUCAUCCAUUCGUUGGGGCACCGCUGUUUACGUGUAUGUCGAGAAAGAAAAGGAAUUUCAGGAGAAAAAUUAUUUCAGGUCUUCUUUUGUAUACAUUUCCCUGACAUUUAGAUGCAGCUAUUGAAUUCAGUUUCUGGACCCUACUGGCAAGUCUCGUCGAUACAAACACCACGCUGCUCACUCCACCAACAACACAGCACAGCCGGGAACAUAGCAGGGGAUUUUACAUCAGAAAACAUUAGAUUCAGUGACGAAACCCAUGAUUAAUGUUGUUUUCGCAGGGAAAUCCUAAGAACCAUCCAUUAAGGUGAUUUACAUACAAGCGCUCUCCUACACGUGACAUCACACUGGCGCCCCCACAUGCCUGUCGUCACACAAGAGCUCCCUUCACCAGGAUCUGCCGUCACCAGCGCGGUGCCUUACAUGACACAAUGCUACUCAGCUCGAGCUAGGUCAUUUUCGUGACUCAGCAACGAUCUCGUGUCUCCUGCUCCCACGCCACCCCCACUGUCAACAGAGCAUUUACGGGCUGCAACACACACAAAAUGCUGGUGGAUCACAGCAGGCCAGGCAGCGUCUACAGGGAGAAGCACUGUCGACGUUUUGGGCCGAGCCCCUUCGUCAGGACUAACUGAAAGGAAAGAUAGUAAGAGAUUUGAAAAUAAGAGGGGUGGGGGAAUUGUGAAAUGAUAGGAAAAGACUCGGACGGGGUGGGGUGAAGCAGAGAGCCAGAAAGGUGAUUGGCAAAAAGGAUAGAGGCCCAGGGAGAAAGAAAGGGGGAGGGGGAACAGAGGGAGAUGGAGAACAAGCAGAGUGAUGGGCAGAGAGAGGGAAAAAAAAGAGGAGGGCGGAAAAAAAACUAAAUAUACCAGGGAUGGGGUAAGAAGGGGAGGAGAGGCACGAACGGAAGUUAGAGAAGUAAAUGUUCAUGCCAUCAGGUUGGAGGCUACCCAGCCGGUAUAUAAGGUGUUGCAGCCUCACGAUGGACACCGCGAAAAUAAGAUACGACCAUAAAGCAAUAAAAAACAUAACAAUAUCUCGCUUCAUCAAAUACUCUCAGCAGAAUCAGACUGUUAGUGAUAAUGUCUAGUAGUCACUGACAACACUGUCAGUGAACAUCGGAAAAAAUUGGUCAUGUCUUCAUUUGUCAAUGCCCGCUCUCCUGCAACAAAUAAAAACACUUAUGCACAACUUACAAGCUGCAAAAUCAAUACCUCAAAUGUGUAAUCACUACUUAUAUUUACAGCACUAUGCACAACGGGGGAUGACUGACGUGUCGAGGACAGAAUUUUCAUACAUUCUGUCGUUAUGGACUUAAACUUUCCGGCUAUACAGCUCAGAGCAGAGAGAUGUGCGGCCAAUGAGUGAUCAAAAUAGCAGUUAAAUCUAAAGGUAUUAAACCUCAGCAUUUGUUCUUAUUUUCGUACUGAAAUCAAGAGUAAGGAGAAAUAUUCACUCCAUUAUUUUUAUCACCACAUUGGGUACACUAUAUAUAUAUUUAAGUACCGGCACAUUUUUAUUUGCGUAUAUCUAAAUUGAAAAAAAAUGCAAGUCCUGUUACAGUCAUUUAUUUAGUCAGUCCGCAUGAAAAUAAAUUUAGACAUGGUGCAGUGCGUUCGCAGAUAAAGAAGCUCAAUGACGAAAAGCUUGUAUUCACUAGGUUCAGAUAAUGGAAACCACCGGGGAACAUGAAAAAAUGCCGAGCCUUCAUCACUUACACUGUUACACAACCGAUGUGAUAUUCUCUGAUGUCUCACUGCUGGAGUACAAUAAUAAAUAUAGUUGUUCAAAUAUGCCAUGCACAUGUAAACAUAUGUUUGACUUAUUUAACUAUUGAAGAAAAAUAUGCUGAACGAUGCGAUUAAAUGUGAUUUGGUUUUUUUUCUUGUUCCAAUUGGGCUGUGUAAUAACAGCAAGGGAGAAUUACUGCACAUCACUAAUCAGAUUAAUUACUGUCAAGAGGAGAUGCAGAAUUACGGAAUACGCUCAGUUAUAUAUUUGUAAAAUAAAAGAAUAAGACAGUUUAUUUUUCCAAACAGAUAUUGAAGUAAUUUGUAAAUAUUGCUAGAAAUAGAUAAAACAUUGCAAGGAACGGAAUAAAGAGGUCUUCACAGAAGGGCAAUAAUGUGAAACACAGCCGGGUGAAUGUGCACAACCAUUCCACUAAGCUCACUCACGGACAUCUGUCUGAGUUACUGGUGAGGCAAUACCUGGAUUUGGAUUGGACGAUAGCAGUUAUGAAGCUGCCACAUUGCCUGUAAUGCGGAAACAUCAGAACGAUUACAAGCCCAGUUUAUAGAGACCCACAAGGCAGAAUGGUCCGCGCUUUACAAACAUGCCACUGACCACUGCAUCUCUUGAACCAUCACUGAGCUGAAAUGAUAAUAUCGCUGCUGGACAAGCUGAUGGCAUAAUUCCUAAUACCACUGUCUGUCGUUAACCCUACUGAUAAUGUUGUUGCUUCUGCAGCCUCAGCUGAUCAAAGUAAUGAUGCCACAGCCUAGCCUGGUCAUUCACUGACAGCAUUCCUCAGACAGACAUAACUUUAAUGUCUCCUCUAUCUACAAAAUUCAGCUGGAGAUUUAUUUAUCCAAGUCCUUAUGUUUUCAGCUCAGUCAACUGAUAGGCCAAAGUCUGUUGAAAGGGAUCAACUAAUUGCAGGCCUGUAUUCUGAAGAUUACUCUUUUUAGUUGUUAUCGACGUGGACAGUUGACAUUACUGCCCUAAACGAUAGAGCAAAUGAACCAGGGAGAUAACUAGUCCAGAUGCUACUAUAGUGCAGCCGCAGCGCUAUCUGAAAUGCAGGAUCACUGCAUAUCCCACGCAUCGGCUUGACCUUAAAUGUGAAACUGACGUAUUGUGAUCCUAAUGUCAGUAGAUUCCAAUCUGUCAGAAUGAGGCUGAUCUCGAGUUUUGAAUUUAAGUCAUUAUAUUACAGAUUGGAAUAUGAAAAUGUUUGAUGAUGAACUUCAAUAAAAAAUAAAUUACAAAAAUUAGGGAAAUUAUGUUAAAUGAGCAUCAAUGGAUAUAAAGUUUCAUGAAAGUUCGGACGAUGGAGCAAGGUGAUUAAGCAACUCAAUAAUGUCAUCUCGACUGAGACAAAUUGUUCAAUUCAAUUACAGUUUCAUCGCAGGCAAUGUUUCGAAUACUUAAGAUGCUAUAUACCAGGAGCAACACACACACACACAAUCCUGGAGGAACGCAGCAGGCCAGGCAAAAUCUAUGGAAGUGAAUAAAGAGUCGACAUUUCAGGCCGAUGCACUGUAUUAGGACUGUAAAGGAAGGGCGUAGAUGACAGAAUAAAAAUGUGGGGGAAGGCGAAGGCAGUGGUAGGUGAAUCUAUGUAGAGGAGAUAUCUUUUCCUUUUCCAUCUUUUCCAUCCCUUUUCCUUUUCCAUCUGUCACUUCCCAGCUUCCGGACACAUAUUUUCAUUUGUAAGUCUAAGUGAUGUCUUCUCACAGACAGUUCUCUGACUUAUCAUUUCAAAUUUAAAUCUAUACUCUUGCGCAGAUCGGUGAAAACAAAAGCAGAAGUUGCAUAGACAUAUGCCAAGUGUAUGUUUUGGCGAGAGGUAACGGUGCCAGAUUAUGAAUGCAGAAAUAUUGUUACUGAAUCACUGACUGUUCAAUGGAGUGUAGAACUUUAUACUUCGCUGUUUCGUGUUUAUUUAAAAUAUUUUUGAUUAUACCCCAUUUCUUUCUAAACAGACAUUUAAAAAAUUAAAACAACUUUUUUCCUGAAUACAUUGCGAUGUAUGCGUUUGCUUCGUUGUUUCUACCCGGUUGUGCAGAAAAACAAGAAAAGCUUAUUGCACAGCUCCCAAUAUUCUUUGUUAAAGAAAAUUUAUUUGACAGGUACAAUGAAUUAUAUCUGUUCCUGGAGGUGGAAACCCACGUUUCCCUGAGCCAAUCGUAUUUAAUGGAGUUUGUAUUUGAUGAUAUUUAGCUUAAUAAACGCUUACGAUGUUUGUUGGACCAGCAAGAGAUCAUUACAUUCACGCCGACAGUGACAGUAAUUGUAUUCAACGCAGACACACCACCUGGAAUUUUUGCAGAGUUGGGUGAACAAUACUUUCUUGCAGAUCAGUUUACCGUCUGGCCCAAAUCCCACGGAAUCCCACUGAAGGACCAGACUUCUCGUAUUCUCAUUUACCUCAGAUAGUAAUCACUAUUAUUUUGCAGGUUCUAGUGUUUUGGAUGUCACCCCAAAAUUUGCCUGACCUUGGCUUGGCUGAACGAUAUUAGCACUCAGAACUCGUUGAGAAUUUAUUGAUAUCCAUGUCUCACCUUUUACAGAAUUCGCCCUCGUACUAUUCCCCCGUGACACAACUGGGAAAAGGUUCUUCAUAUUGUCACCUA